GGGGAUUUAGCUCAGUGGUAGAGCACUUGCCUAGCAAGCAUAAGACCCUGGGUUCGGUCCCCAGCUCCG
rfam:Rattus norvegicus chromosome 13, whole genome shotgun sequence.